UACGAAAGUAAAUAAAGUAGUACGACCGUAGAACUUUGUUACUUGUCAGCUUGUUUCCAAAUUAUUCACCUUGUUUUCUCCGUUGAUAUCCAAGGUGCCUGUAAUGCUCCAUUGUUGAGGAAUCAUUAUCAUCGGUGUUGUCAUAAUUACAAUAAUUUUCAAUUGGCUACUGAACCUGGUGUUUGUGUUUGGCAUUGAUUUUGCAUCUUUGCUUCUCAAGUGAUUUUCUUUUAAUUGGGUAUAUAAUGAUUCUGUAAACUUAACAAUUUCUCUUUUGUAUUUUUUUUGGUGUAGGCAACAGUAAAUGACCCCUUUUACUGGUAAAAAAAAGGUUAUCAUUGAUCAAUUUGCAUGAUGAAAAGUUGUAGGGACUAGACAUUUCCUCAACAACAACAACAACAACAACAACAAAAAUAAAGAAAAUGAAGUCCCUGGUUUCUUUCUCUGUUAUUGCUUCAUCGAUAUGAGAAUUUUUUUUAUUUAAUAUCUGUGUCGCAAAAAAAGUGUUGUAUAAAUUUAUUUGAAUCUCUCUUGAGUGUUAAUUUUUGAAUCAUUUUACUGGUACUGAUUAUUCUAGUGCUAAGUCUUCAAUGCAGUCUGUAGUAGCAAAUACGCGCCAGCUCUCUAGCGUGUUUCUUGCCAGUUCAUUCACAACAAAGUCUACUGGUGUUUCAUAUAAUUAUUUAUCGUCAGCUAUACACACAAUUGAUUCCUUCCAGCUGACCCAAGCCACGUGACCCAUGAGAAGGCCUUAUAUAGAGAACUUGCCAAACUCUGGCUCUAAGAAAGAUAUAUUGGACUGGAUUAAUAGUGUCUUACUGUCUUCAGGAGUUAAUCGCAUUCAAGUAACACAACCAUGUAUCAGCUGUAUGGUUUUUCUCCGUAAUUCCUCAGCUGCUUGUUGUAAAUUGUAAUGUGCCAAGACCUAUUCCAGAUUGGGGCAGUCACCGUAGAUGGAUGGCUAGAAGUUGCCUAUGUUCCUCGUGGACUCUUCAAAAAUGUCAAUGGGUGCGUGUCGGAUUCAUCAAACCUAAUGUAUUUUUGGAGAAUCCGAUACGGGUGCGGCAUCAAAAGUGAAGACUCUGCGCAACUUAGGAAGUUGCAGCACCAGCACAAACAGUUUUGUUAUUUAAGGAACUGCGGCUAACUCUUCAUGAUAUUGUCACGGAGCUUAUUCGUAAUCCACAGGUGUUACCAUUGAAGAGUUGAGAUCUAAGCACCGUAACGAUCCCGAAAAGAUUGUGGAAAUAAUGAAAAGGAAAGGAUUGGCAAAAACUUCAUCUCCCACAAAAUUUUAAAAAUCAGUGAAAAGGAAAAAGUCGGAUGAAAAAGGAGAAUGUAGUAAAAUUGCAAGUCUCGUUGCAUCAGAUUCUGAAUCUGAACUAGAGAAAGUGGAGGAGGUGUGGUACUAUUCGAAAGUCUUGUUAUUGAUAUGAAUUGUAUAUGCUAUAUACAAUAUAUUUUAAAUAUGUAUUUCAUAUCUAAAUUUUGUGUAAGAUAUUUAUAUUUAUUAGGUUUCUAUAUAAUAUAUAUUUUUUGGGGAAAA